rnacentral:lncRNA from 1 species
AACUGGCCAGAAUAGGCUGAAAGUGCGAGUUUUGACGAGUUCCCCAUAACGUUCUCGAAACUUUCGGAUCGCACCGGGACCCAAAAGCAAUGAUUCAUAGCAUUGAUACAUCUCCAACGUAUCUAUAAAUUUUUAUGGUUCCAUGCUAUUAUCUUGUCAACUUUAGAUGUUUUAUAUGCAUGAAUAUGCUAUUUUAUAUCUUUUUGGGACUAACCUAUUAACUCAGUGCCAAGUGCCAGUUUCUGUUUUUUCCGUGUUUUUGACCCUUUUUCAGACGGAUUCCAAAUGGAAUGAAACUUUUCAAUGAUUUUUUUGGACCAAAAGAGACCUCCGAAGCUUUGGAAGAAGGCCAGAAGAGCCACGAGGGAGUCACAAGCCCUAAGGCCGCCACCACCCCCCUAGGCGGCGCCUACCAGGCUUGUGACCUCCUCGUGGGCCCAACCGAUGUAAUUUCACCGCCAUAAAUUCCUAUAAAUUCAGAAACCCCCAAAAAGAAACCUAGAUCGGGAGUUCCACCGCCGCAAGCCUCUGUAGCCACCAAAAACCAAUCUGGAGCCCGUUCCAGCACCCUGCCGGAGGGGGAAUCCAUCUCUGGUGGCCAUCUUCAUCAUCCACGCAAUCCCCAUGACGAGGAGGGAGUAGUUCUCCCUCGGGGUUGAUGGUAUGUACGAGUAGCUAUGUGUUUGAUCUCUCUUUUUCGUGUUCUUGAGAUAUCUUGAUCUCAAUGUACCAUGGGCUUUGCUACUAUAGUUGGAUCUUAUGAUGUUCUUCCCCCUCUCCCUCUUGUAAUGAAUUGAGUUUCCCCUUUGGAGUUAUAUUAUCGGAUUGAGUCUUUGAGAACACUUGAUGUAUGUCUUGCACGUGUCUAUCUGCUGUGAUCAACUUGCG